UGACUUGAGGGGGCCCUGCACCAGGCACUGCCCAUGGGUGUCCGGUGGGAGGCAGUAAGUCUGACCCAUGGGGCUCCACUCGGAAGCCUUCGACCAGGGGAGUGUGGUCCUAGCCCCUGUCCCCUAGGCGGAAGGCGGGUGGAGUGUCUCAGUGGUGUCUGUAGCUGGGUCCUUCCCUUCGGCCUGGAGGCAGCUCCCCUGACGUUUCCGGAGCUUGCUGUGUCCCCUCCACUGGGCCAUCAGGGUUUACAGAUGGUGGCCCUUCUCUUGGGCUCCGGAAUCCUCACCUGGUGCCCCCUUAGCCUCUGUGCUCAGGAACCUCACCUGUAAACAGGGUGGGCGAGCAAGGGUUAGCACGUGGCCUUUCACGGACUCUCCUCGUCACCAGGGCCUGGCGCCAGCUCUUCUCAGGGGAGAGUCUGCAGUGCUGUUCAGCACUCCCACCACAGAAAUGCCCAGAAUCCUUUACUGGUUCAGAGAACAUUUAAAACAGGCCCCCAGUGUCAGCUGAAUAUAGCCUUGCACUGCAAUCAAGCCACCUAGGGAUCUGUGAUGGAGUAUUCCAGAACUGGGUAGGGAGGCGGCUCUGACUCUCCUCUCAGGCCCUGGGGGGGUGGGGGGUGGACCUUGAGCAUCCAUUCAGUCCCACUCACAGCACUGCUCCGCUGGUGGGCGGGUCAUGGGUGGCCCAGCAGCAGGACGAACAGGUUUCCGUCACAGGGCCCGUGCUGGUCACUGCAAGGCAGGCCAGAAACCUGUUUCCACAGGGACACGCCCAUCACCACGGUGUGCAGCAAGCAGUCAGCCGAGCCAGCCGCCAGCCUAGGACUGUGGGAACGACUGUGCCAGGAGGGAUCGGGCUGGGUGGCAGAGCCACAUGAGGGCAUCAACCUGUGCCCCAGGCUCCACCCUGAGGGUUGUAGGCCGAGCCCAGGCACCAAGAGCGCAGCUGUGCAGUCAGGCCGCAGCGGGUGCUGAUAUGACCCAGGAUGGGCCAGAGCUUUUCUAGGCAGGCUGGCUGGCGGUGUGUCCACGAAGGGGUCGCCAGGAUUCGUAAUUCAAGAGCUGUGGCUGCAUUGGGUGGGUGCGGCGCGCAGUGGUGGGCACUCACGACGCGCUCAGCACCCGUGACUAGAGCCAAGACAGAAGAGGCGGGAGCCAGACCGUGCUUAGUGUUUUAUUUCAUAAAACAAGCCAUGCAGUCGACCCUCUAACACGUACGAGCAUCCUUCCCGUUCCCACCGCUCCCGUCAGCCUUCAGCCUGCCUUCAGUGUCCUCCAACCUCCAACCCUCGACUUCCCUUGACAAGUCCAUACCUUCCAAACAUCCUAAUAAUGAAUAAAUGUUAAAUAUUGAAUUUUACUAUUACAGAAAGGGGGGCUAGAAAAGUGUUGUUUCACUCGGUGCAGAGGACUGCCACGCCACGCUCGUAGAAGCUGCGAGGGUCUUCCUUGGUGGCAAUUUCAAAGUCCACUGUGAAGAUGAGGUCUGCGCGGGUGAAGUUCAGGUAGACGGGUAAGGUCACCUGCGAGGAGGAGACGGGCGCACGGUCGACGUUGGGCCGAGCGGCGGCCCGGGGGGCGUGGUGAUGGAGGGCUUUAUGCCGAGCUCCCUGACCACGAAGGACGGGACGGAGCCACUUACCACAUUAGCCUUCUUCUCCGCAUUGGUCUGCUUGACCCAGCGCAGCUGUGUUAGAGGAAGGACCGUGGAGAUGGCAUUGGAGAGCGACAGCUUGUUGUUAUUGCACGUGGCCCCCUGGAGCUUCAAACCUGGGAGCAGGAAGCCAAAACCCAUCGGCCAGGGAAACAACAGCUAGGCCAACCCCCCGGUCCCGGGGCUCUCAGGGCGGACCAAGUGCCCAGCUCUGACUAGCAUGUGAGGACCGCCAGCCACCUGUGAGAACGUGUGCUGGCCCAGUGGGGCCGGGAGCAGGGAAGGGGAACUUCAGGGAAGCCCAGCCAGAGGCGCUGAGUCUGCAUGUUCUCUGAUCCCAACGCACCUGUGACUCCAAAGCUGCAGGCGUCGAGGGUGGCACUCUGGGAGGUGGUGACGUUGACUUCCAGGCAGAGCUCCUCCAGGGACCAGCUGUUGGCCUGGGCCACGUACUGCCUGGUGGCGGUGAUGUACGCCUCAGGUACAAACAGGCCGCCCAGGCACACGUGGAUGUUCUGUGGGAGGAAGCAGCCCCAGCUCCUUGGCACCGCCAGAGGCAGCCGCCAGGGAGAUAUUCUGCAGCUGUUUGAUCCUCUCGCUGAAGUCGGACACCCACUGGAUGACGGUCAUGCCGGCAGGCACUGUGUAGUGAGACCAGCUCCGGGGCAGGAUUCCUGCAAGCCAGGCGGGCCCGGCGCGUCAGUCCCCACCGUCCCCCACAGAUGGGCUGAGGCUGCUGGGGCUCACCUGCAUCUCCAGCUGUGCUCACACACGCAAGCCCUUCCCCCCUCCCCGGCUGCAUGUCCCGGAUGGACUGCCAUCACCUCUGCAUCUGUUCUUUGCUCAGUUCCGUGUAACUGACGGCUGCGUCUGGGGCGCCAAUGACUCCCAAGGAACACCAAAGCCACAAACUCCCAUCACACAAGUGGCUCAGUGUCACUAGCAAUUCCUGCUCUUGGAGCCGAUGGGAGACACCUGGGGGCUCCUUGCGCCUUUGGACUCGAGCCCCCUACCCCUCCACUUUUCUUCAGUCCUGGCUCCCCCCCUAAAAACUGUAGAAGUUGUGUAAAAAUUUUAGUAAACGUCAGUGACCAGCAUAUAAUAAAAACAAGUCCUUGGGCAUUUCUAAGCCUGCCCCCAGGUAAGGGCACCGAGCUGCUCUCAGAGGGAAUCUGUUUGGAAGGAAAUGCCUGGCCUGGGACCUGUCAACACUCUGAAGAAUUGCGGCCGCCGGCCCCCAGCAAUCCUGCUCUCAGUGCAGUGAGGGGGACUGCCGAGGGCGGGUGAGGCCGGGGCCGGGCCCCCGGGGCUGAGCCCCCAGGCACACGGGAGGACCAACACCUCAUUCAGUCCCAAUCAAAGUGCACCUUUCACCAGCUCGUUGAUAAGUGUACGCAGGUAGUUGGUCUGUUUCUUCUUCCCUUCACACACUUGAACGACGUCAGCAAGAUCCUGGCGGACGUCCUGAAGUAACUUUGCUCCCAUCUUCACCUCUCUCUCGAAGAAUCGGAACAAAGGAUCCUAAAAUUGUUCAAAGAGAAGGGAAGGCCAGGGUGAAGGGAAGAGCGGUUAGAAAGAGGUCCCUUCUGCAGAAGAAAGAAUCAGGCAAACAGAAGUAAUUCAAGCUCAGGAGCCCCAGGAUCCACAACCCGGUCCAGAUCACGCCCAGCUGCACCAGACUACUGUCUUGGACUUGAUCUCGUAAGAAG
rnacentral:lncRNA from 1 species